AAUAAAACAAGUAGACUCAAAACCUUUUUUUGUGCCUCUUUGCACAUUUUCUUGUACUUCAGCCAUACUGCUGUGCAUCGAUUAACUGAAGAAGAAGUGUUUCUAAACCAGGACAACAUACAUCAUCUACUUAAUACAAGAGCUACAUUCUGUUGUGGUAUCAACAGUGACAUGGAAAAGUUGGUGAGGACGUGCAAAGUGUGGUGAUGGAACAUUGGGACCACAAUUGAUAUACUGACAACAUGUCUGUAGACCAAGGCAAAUCUACAUUUUUGGAAUGUUACAUCAUAAAAAA